AAAUUGAAGAGUUUGAUCAUGGCUCAGAUUGAACGCUGGCGGCAGGCCUAACACAUGCAAGUCGAACGGUAACAGGAAGCAGCUUGCUGCUUUGCUGACGAGUGGCGGACGGGUGAGUAAUGUCUGGGAAACUGCCUGAUGGAGGGGGAUAACUACUGGAAACGGUAGCUAAUACCGCAUAACGUCGCAAGACCAAAGAGGGGGACCUUAGGGCCUCUUGCCAUCGGAUGUGCCCAGAUGGGAUUAGCUAGUAGGUGGGGUAACGGCUCACCUAGGCGACGAUCCCUAGCUGGUCUGAGAGGAUGACCAGCCACACUGGAACUGAGACACGGUCCAGACUCCUACGGGAGGCAGCAGUGGGGAAUAUUGCACAAUGGGCGCAAGCCUGAUGCAGCCAUGCCGCGUGUAUGAAGAAGGCCUUCGGGUUGUAAAGUACUUUCAGCGGGGAGGAAGGGAGUAAAGUUAAUACCUUUGCUCAUUGACGUUACCCGCAGAAGAAGCACCGGCUAACUCCGUGCCAGCAGCCGCGGUAAUACGGAGGGUGCAAGCGUUAAUCGGAAUUACUGGGCGUAAAGCGCACGCAGGCGGUUUGUUAAGUCAGAUGUGAAAUCCCCGGGCUCAACCUGGGAACUGCAUCUGAUACUGGCAAGCUUGAGUCUCGUAGAGGGGGGUAGAAUUCCAGGUGUAGCGGUGAAAUGCGUAGAGAUCUGGAGGAAUACCGGUGGCGAAGGCGGCCCCCUGGACGAAGACUGACGCUCAGGUGCGAAAGCGUGGGGAGCAAACAGGAUUAGAUACCCUGGUAGUCCACGCCGUAAACGAUGUCGACUUGGAGGUUGUGCCCUUGAGGCGUGGCUUCCGGAGCUAACGCGUUAAGUCGACCGCCUGGGGAGUACGGCCGCAAGGUUAAAACUCAAAUGAAUUGACGGGGGCCCGCACAAGCGGUGGAGCAUGUGGUUUAAUUCGAUGCAACGCGAAGAACCUUACCUGGUCUUGACAUCCACGGAAGUUUUCAGAGAUGAGAAUGUGCCUUCGGGAACCGUGAGACAGGUGCUGCAUGGCUGUCGUCAGCUCGUGUUGUGAAAUGUUGGGUUAAGUCCCGCAACGAGCGCAACCCUUAUCCUUUGUUGCCAGCGGUCCGGCCGGGAACUCAAAGGAGACUGCCAGUGAUAAACUGGAGGAAGGUGGGGAUGACGUCAAGUCAUCAUGGCCCUUACGACCAGGGCUACACACGUGCUACAAUGGCGCAUACAAAGAGAAGCGACCUCGCGAGAGCAAGCGGACCUCAUAAAGUGCGUCGUAGUCCGGAUUGGAGUCUGCAACUCGACUCCAUGAAGUCGGAAUCGCUAGUAAUCGUGGAUCAGAAUGCCACGGUGAAUACGUUCCCGGGCCUUGUACACACCGCCCGUCACACCAUGGGAGUGGGUUGCAAAAGAAGUAGGUAGCUUAACCUUCGGGAGGGCGCUUACCACUUUGUGAUUCAUGACUGGGGUGAAGUCGUAACAAGGUAACCGUAGGGGAACCUGCGGUUGGAUCACCUCCUUACCUUAAAGAA
rnacentral:rRNA from 1 species